GCUGGACACUGCUUUCCUCCUGAGUACAACUCUGUUGUCUUUGUACUCUCUUCUUGCAGGAGGUAUCAGGGGGCUGAGCUGUGCCCAAC
rnacentral:miRNA from 12 species